rnacentral:misc_RNA from 1 species
UCAUCUUGCUUUGCACGAAGCUCUUCCAUGUGCAGUUGAAAUACCUUGGUGGUGUUCUCAAGUUCUCUUGUAAUUUCUUGUGCACGUAAUUCAGCAGUUUUUUGUGCUGCCUCUGCCUGUCGCUUUUCUGCACGAGCACGGGCAGCAGCAGAAAUGGCAGCAUCAAGUUCUCUUUCCAAAGUCUCUACCCUUUGUUCAAGAACCUUGAUGGUACGGGCUUGUUCAGAACUGAGGGAAGCUUUAGUGAAGGUCUCUUCAUCUACAAAUACAGCUUUCUUGAGAAGUAGUUUCUGCAGGGAGUCU